GCCUGGCCGGGCCCCACCCUGCCCUCACCAAGGGCCUCCCACAUGCCCAUAUAUGGACGCGAUCAGGACAGCUCAGGCAGGGUCUGUGAGGUCAAGGCCUCUGUGCCCUCACAAUGCCCAGGGGCCCCCCCUGUGUCUAUAAGAGGCUCACAAGCCGGGCCCCCGGCUCACAGCCCACCAAGUUCCACCUGCUCACAGGUUGGCUGGCUCGACCAAGAUAGACCCCCUGCUCUGAGCAUCCCGGCCGGAUCCAUCUAGAGCCAUGGCCAGAUACAGAUGCUGCCGCAGCCACAGCAGGAGCAGGUGCCGUCGCCGCAGACGCCGAUGCCGCAGACGAAGGAGGCGAUGUUGUAGGAGGCCGAGGAAGAGAGUGUGUUCCCGCCGCUACAGGGUGGGCAGGUGUAGGAGAAGAUGAUCCACGCACGGGGUACCGGUCCGCCACUCCUGCCCGGAAUUCUACCAGCCAGUCAAGACCGACCUGCCGCCUCUGAACAUGCCACCAGCACCAUGACCUGAACAGGAGCCUGCUAACGAACAAUGCCACCUGUCAAUAAAUGUUGAAAA